GGAAUGGGGAGAAAAUACGAUGGAAAGGGCUCAAGGGUUGAGAUAAGGACAAGGAGAUUGUGCAGUAAUUAUUGUGACGGGCAAAACAGACUCAGCAUAAGGAGAUAGUAAGAUUUAUUGCCUAUUACUAACAAGCUAGAGAAGUGAGAAACAAAGGAAAGAAACCAAAAGCACCUUCCCCCCAUCCACCCUCUUCCACCUCCUCCCACCGAGCAGCGCAGGGGAACGGGGGAAUGGGGGUUAUGGUCAGCCUAUAGCGCUUCUUCUCUGCUGCUCCUUCUCAGUCACUCUCGUUCCCUGUGCUGUGGGGUCCCUCCCACACGAUGCAGUCCUUGCUGAACUGAUCCAGCGUGGGCUGCCCACAGGCAGCAGCUCUUCAAGAACUGCUCCAGAUAUGGGUCCGUACCACGGGGUCCAUCCCUCAGGAGCAAACUGCUCCAACCUGGCUCCCCCACGGGCAGCAGCUCCUGCCAGGUCACCUGCUCCUGCGUAGGCUCCUCUCCACGGGCUACAGGUCCGGCCUGGAAUCUGCUCCAGCAGGGGUCUUCCACAGGCUGCAGUCUCCGUCGGUGCAGGUCCACCUGCUCCACCGUGGUCUCCUCCACGGGCUGCAGCAUGGAACCCUGCUCCACGGUGGUACUCCAUGGGCUGCAGGGGGACAGCCUGCUUCACCAUGGUCCUCACCACAGGCCGCAGGGGACUUCUGCUCCAGCGCCUGGAGCACCUCUCCCCCUCCUUCUUCACUGACCUUGGUGCCUGCAAGGCUGUUCCUCACUCCUCUCACUCUCCCUGCUGUGUGUGGCGCAGUGUUUUUUUUUUGUUGUUUUUGUUUUUGUUUUUGUUUUUUUUCCCUUGUCUUAAAUAUGCUCUCACAGAGGCGCAAAACAACAUCUCUUAUUGGCUCAGCUCUGGUCAGCAGUGGGGCCCUUACCAAACAUGGGGCAGCUUCUAAAUCCUUCUCACGGAAGCCACCCCUAUGGCCCCUUGCUACCAAAACCUUGCCACGUAAACCCACUACAGUCUUAUUAAAUAAUAGUGCAAGCAUGGAAAAUUUUGUGCGAAGACAAUGGUGAAAGACUUUGAAGUACCAAAGGAAU
rnacentral:lncRNA from 1 species